CGGGACACGUGGUAUCCUGUCUGAAUAUGGGGGGACCAUCCUCCAAGGCUAAAUACUCCUGACUGACCGAUAGUGAACCAGUACCGUGAGGGAAAGGCGAAAAGAACCCCGGCGAGGGGAGUGAAAAAGAACCUGAAACCGUGUACGUACAAGCAGUGGGAGCCUCUUUAUGGGGUGACUGCGUACCUUUUGUAUAAUGGGUCAGCGACUUAUAUUCUGUAGCAAGGUUAACCGAAUAGGGGAGCCGAAGGGAAACCGAGUCUUAACUGGGCGUUAAGUUGCAGGGUAUAGACCCGAAACCCGGUGAUCUAGCCAUGGGCAGGUUGAAGGUUGGGUAACACUAACUGGAGGACCGAACCGACUAAUGUUGAAAAAUUAGCGGAUGACUUGUGGCUGGGGGUGAAAGGCCAAUCAAACCGGGAGAUAGCUGGUUCUCCCCGAAAGCUAUUUAGGUAGCGCCUCGUGAAUUCAUCUCCGGGGGUAGAGCACUGUUUCGGCAAGGGGGUCAUCCCGACUUACCAACCCGAUGCAAACUGCGAAUACCGGAGAAUGUUAUCACGGGAGACACACGGCGGGUGCUAACGUCCGUCGUGAAGAGGGAAACAACCCAGACCGCCAGCUAAGGUCCCAAAGUCAUGGUUAAGUGGGAAACGAUGUGGGAAGGCCCAGACAGCCAGGAUGUUGGCUUAGAAGCAGCCAUCAUUUAAAGAAAGCGUAAUAGCUCACUGGUCGAGUCGGCCUGCGCGGAAGAUGUAACGGGGCUAAACCAUGCACCGAAGCUGCGGCAGCGACACUAUGUGUUGUUGGGUAGGGGAGCGUUCUGUAAGCCUGCGAAGGUGUACUGUGAGGUAUGCUGGAGGUAUCAGAAGUGCGAAUGCUGACAUAAGUAACGAUAAAGCGGGUGAAAAGCCCGCUCGCCGGAAGACCAAGGGUUCCUGUCCAACGUUAAUCGGGGCAGGGUGAGUCGACCCCUAAGGCGAGGCCGAAAGGCGUAGUCGAUGGGAAACAGGUUAAUAUUCCUGUACUUGGUGUUACUGCGAAGGGGGGACGGAGAAGGCUAUGUUGGCCGGGCGACGGUUGUCCCGGUUUAAGCGUGUAGGCUGGUUUUCCAGGCAAAUCCGGAAAAUCAAGGCUGAGGCGUGAUGACGAGGCACUACGGUGCUGAAGCAACAAAUGCCCUGCUUCCAGGAAAAGCCUCUAAGCAUCAGGUAACAUCAAAUCGUACCCCAAACCGACACAGGUGGUCAGGUAGAGAAUACCAAGGCGCUUGAGAGAACUCGGGUGAAGGAACUAGGCAAAAUGGUGCCGUAACUUCGGGAGAAGGCACGCUGAUAUGUAGGUGAAGUCCCUCGCGGAUGGAGCUGAAAUCAGUCGAAGAUACCAGCUGGCUGCAACUGUUUAUUAAAAACACAGCACUGUGCAAACACGAAAGUGGACGUAUACGGUGUGACGCCUGCCCGGUGCCGGAAGGUUAAUUGAUGGGGUUAGCGCA
rnacentral:rRNA from 1 species